CAUCCACCUCAUAAAGUACUUACUGAAUUGACCAAGUACAUAUCUGUGAACCCUGGGGAUAACAAAGUGUAUCUGGCUCUUCUGACUUGCAUAGAGCACAUGGUCAUAUUUCUCAUAAUCUGUCAACUAAUGAAAACAACUGCUGGGAUUUAGAAGCUUCUUACUCAAAUCGACUAUGAUAGACUGCUAAAACCAAGUCUCAAUGUUUCUAAUAAAUGUCUGAAGGUAACUGUAAGAUGGUAAUUAAUUAUAGAGAGGCUCUGGCACUAUCGGGUAAAAUUCUGAUACUCUGUGAAGUGUAAUCAGACAACAUUUCUUCGUGUUGUUGUGUAAAAUUUAACCCCAUCUUGC
rnacentral:lncRNA from 1 species